rnacentral:scRNA from 1 species
AACAUUGGAGGGAAAAUCACAUGGUAGAGAAU